rnacentral:rRNA from 1 species
CCUAGUAACGGCGAGUGAAGCGGGAUGAGCUCAAAUUUAAAAUCUGGCUGGUUUACUAGUCCGAAUUGUAGUUUAUAGAAGCGUUUUCGGUGGCAGCCUGGGUAUAAAUCCUUUGGAAUAGGGUAUCAUAGAGGGUGAGAAUCCCGUCUUUGACUCAGUGCAUGCUACUAUGUGAUACGUUUUCAAAGAGUCGAGUUGUUUGGGAAUGCAGCUCAAAAUGGGUGGUAAAUUUCAUCUAAAGCUAAAUAUUGGCGAGAGACCGAUAGCGAACAAGUACCGUGAGGGAAAGAUGAAAAGAACUUUGAAAAGAGAGUUAAACAGUGCGUGAAAUUGUUGAAAGGGAAACGUUUGACACCAGUUAUGCGGGUGGAAAAUCAGUCUUUUGCAAUGGGGAGUUGUGGGCGUUCAGACCGCAAGGCUGGCGUUUGCUUCAUCUUUGUUGUAAGUGAUGCACUUUUUCAUUUGCAGGUCAACAUCAGUUUGCUUUGCUGGACAAAACCCCAAGGGAAGGUGGCAGCUUAGGCUGUGUUAUAGCCCUGGGGCGAUACAGUGGAGUGGACUGAGGUUUCGCAGUGUGUGCUCUCGGGCAAGGCUGACUGGGUGCUAUGGGAUCGUUCGGCGUACAAUGCAUGCAUUUUGCGUCGUGUCUUUUUCAUACUCGCUCAACUCGGCUCUUCCACACUUAGGAUGUUGACUUAAUGGUUUUAAACGACCCGUCUUGAAACACGGACCAAGGAGUCUAACAUAUAUGCAAGUGUUUGGGUGGCAAACCCAUGCGCGUAAUGAAAGUGAACGUAGGUGCGAUCCGCAAGGUGCAGCAUCGACCGAUCUUGAUAUUUUUGGAUAGAUUUGAGUAAGAGCAUAUAUGCUGGGACCCGAAAGAUGGUGAACUAUGCCUGAAUAGGGUGAAGCCAGAGGAAACUCUGGUGGAGGCUCGUAGCGAUUCUGACGUGCAAAUCGAUCGUCAAAUUUGG